rnacentral:rRNA from 1 species
UCAAUAAGCGGAGGAAAAGAAACUAACAAGGAUUCCCUUAGUAACGGCGAGUGAAGCGGGAAGAGCUCAAAUUUGAAAGCUGGCCGCAAGGUCCGCAUUGUAAUCUCGAGAAGUGUUUUCCGCGCUGGACCAUGGACAAGUUCCCUGGAAUGGGAUGUCAUAGAGGGUGAUAACCCCGUACUUGCUGUGGACGCCCAGUGCUUUGUGAUACACUUUCAAAGAGUCGAGUUGUUUGGGAAUGCAGCUCAAAAUGGGUGGUAAAUUCCAUCUAAAGCUAAAUAUUGGGGAGAGACCGAUAGCAAACAAGUACCGUGAGGGAAAGAUGAAAAGCACUUUGGAAAGAGAGUUAAACAGUACGUGAAAUUGUCAAAAGGGAAGCACUGGAAGUCAGACGUGCAUGCAGUAUUCAGCCUGGCUUCGGCUUGGUGUAUUUAUUGUUUUGCAGGCCAACAUCGAUUUUCGGCAACGGAUAAGGGUAUAGGGAAUGUGGCCUCUCCGGAGGUGUUAUAGCCCUGUACUGGAUACGUUGCUGGGGAUCGAGGAUCGCAGCGCCCCCGCAAGGGCAGGCCUUCGGGCACUUUGGCGCUUAGGAUGUUGGCGUAAUGGCUUUCAGUGACCCGUCUUGAAACAC